UAUUAAAAAUUUCAUCCAUUUAUAUUGUUAAAAACCGACAUAGUUGACGGAAUAACAUGAUAGUGCCACGUGUACCUCGUGCUGACAUACAAUGACCAAAUUUUAAUAGUAGAAAUAGAUAGAAUUUUUAACA
rfam:Gossypium arboreum cultivar AKA8401 contig_17_3, whole genome shotgun sequence.